rnacentral:tRNA from 1 species
GGCAUUGCCCCGGGACUGAACGGAUAACUCUGAUGACGUUAAACACAAGGGAUUCUCCCUCCAAUGCCU